rnacentral:rRNA from 1 species
UACGUAGGAGACGAGCGUUGUCCGGAGUUACUGGGCGUAAAGGGGGCGCAGGCGGCACGUCGCGUGGGGGGUGAAAUCUCCUGGCUUAACUGGGAGGGGGCCUUCCAAACGGGCGUGCUUGAGGCGUGGAGAGGGACGUGGAAUUCCGGGUGGAGCGGUGAAAUGCGUAGAGAUCCGGAGGAACACCGACGGCGCAGGCAGCGUCCUGGCCACGACCUGACGCUCAGGCCCGAAAGCUGGGGGAG